AUUCUUUUGAAUUUGAUUUGGUGAUUACACAAUAUCAUUUUUUCUACCUGUUUUUGGAGUAUCAAUAAAAGACGGGAAAGAAAAAGGCAAGAGAGUGAGUGGAGAAAGCAAGUGAGGUGUGCAUGAGGUAGAUUAGCUGAUCCCACUGGAAUGACAGACUGCGGCAAAGAACUUGAAGAGAGUCUUUGUGUCUCUGUGAAUAGUUGGUGGGCUGAUGUAAAUUAUUAUCUGAGUGUGUUACCUUUCCUUGCUGCUGUUGAUUCUGGAAUGACAGGGCUAUCUCCAAACCAAAUCAUGAUAUUGCCACCACUCAAGGAUCAGAUGAGGUUUUGUUACAAUGUUUCUGACUGUCGAUCUGCCCUCCCUAAAACAAUGGACAAAUGGAGAGACUUUUUUCAGUACAUGCAGUUGCCUUCUAGUGACUUCGAUGGCCUCCUGAAGAAGUUAUGGGAUGCCCAUACCUCAUCCUUGGAGUAUCCCACUCGUGCCUUUGUAGACAGGUAAAAAAAAAAUACUUUUGUCUCUGUUUUAGCUUGAGUUUUUCAUUGAUUUAAUAAAAAUCAUGUCCAAAAGC
rnacentral:lncRNA from 1 species